GGCUAUCCUGCAAGCCUAAAAGUGCAGGCAGAUCGGUGACGGCGACCACCUAAAACGCCUA
rnacentral:ncRNA from 1 species